GCCUUCGUGGUGUAAUGAUCAGCACACUGAGCCGGUAUUUCAGAGGUCCGUGGUUCGAUCCUCGGCGGAGGCA
rnacentral:tRNA from 1 species